AGCGAGGCUUGCGAGGCUCCCAGCACCAUCUGUGCAGUGAGCAGUGCCUGGAGGAAAGAGUGGGACAGAGAUCUGGUGACUCACUGGACCCGGUUCCUUACCCCUAGAGCCACCUGGGAAGCAAGCACAUUGAACAGAAGUAACCGCCUCCCACCAAAUUCCAGUGGAAAGCAAUUCUCCUUCACACACUCAACCACUCAGUUUUCCUGAGACACAACUGCUGUUAUAAGAUUUUCAGGAGGAAUAAAGAGAAAGGAAGGCUGGCUCACGCUGCAGCCUAGGCUGGAAGAUGCCAGAAAGACUGCUGUGCUGCUGGACCCAGAGC
ensembl:lncRNA